AUUUUUUCUAACGCUCGUAAAUAACUUACAGCUAUUUUUGUGGUUAACUUUUAGCAACAUCAUCAUUAUUAUUGAUAUUCUUUCAGCCAUAAUGAAGCAGCACACAUGUUUAUCGUGUGUUUGGUAGCUCUAACAACGUGCUUUCUCAAGAGAUAUUGCUCUCGUCUUGACUUCAAGAUUGUUUCAUCUUUAUCUUGUGUUGGAUAUAUCUCCCAACUGCUGCUAGUGCUUUCUCAUCGAGUUCUUGCUCUCUUGAUUUCAAGAUUGGUUAAUGCUGAAUCCAAAACUUCACGUUGCUUUCUUGAAUGACAUGUAAACAACUCAUGUGAACAACCUAACAUAUGCUGCUGUCAACAGUCAGUGAUUUAUCGCUGUAAGGAUUUUCUCUAUUGCAUGAUGCUUUAGCGCUGAUGCUCGGUCUUGUGUUGGAUAUAUCUCCCAACUGCUGCUAGUGCUUUCUCAUCGAGUUCUUGCUCUCUUGAUUUCAAGAUUGGUUAAUGCUGAAUCCAAAACUUCACGUUGCUUUCUUAAAUCACAUGUAAACAACUCAUGUGAACAACCUAACAUAUGCUGCUGUCAACAGCCAGUGAUUUUCUCUGAUGCAUGAUUCUUUAGCGCUGAUUAAAUAGACGCUCGGCAAUCAGCAAUGAGAAGAAAACAGAGAACCAUUGUCAGUGAGAGACAACUGCGCAACAGAAUCAGGGAAGAUGCCGCUCACCUUGAAGCGGAAGGAGCACUAAUUCACGGCUCAAUAACACCACCUCUUCAACCGACACCGUUAGUCGAGAGUGAAGAAGAAGAACUUGGCGCAUCAUUUCACGAUUCACCGCUACCUCCUCACGAUUUUGCUGACUCAUCUCUUCAAGAAACAGUCGAUCUUCACCUUCUCACAGACUGCGAUUCCCAAUAUGAUAGUAGUCAAGAUUCAUACGACUCCUACGAAUAUGGAAGUGAUCCCGAAGGUGAACCUGAAGGAGAAGACCGUAGAGAAGAUUGGGAUUUUGGAGAAUGGGAAGACGAAUAUUUAUUACCACGUUGCAUCUUUGUUGUUGUCUAAUAAUUGUAUACUAUGAAUUUCAUUUUUCAUUAAAUAAACCUUUCUUUUCAUUUA